GUGGUACGCCCCUACACAAUAUUGGGCACUUUAUCGAUUAUUUUCUUGUUCCACUUGUUAAAACACAAUAUACAUAUAUAAAAGAUACGUCAAGUUUUAUUAAUUCGAUUGAAAAUAUAAAACCCCAAAGAGACUGCUAUCUAGUAACAUUCGAUGCAAAAAACAUGUACACUUGCUUUACAUUUAAUGAAAUACUAGAAGCCACUAACGCGGCACUGACCAAUAUUGAUCCAAGUGAGUAUGAAAUCAAAGUUCCACCAAAGGACAGUAUACUUCGCCUAUUAAGGCUUAUUCUAGAAAACAAUGAAUUUAUUUUUAACAAUAAACUUUACCGUGAAACCUUGGGCGUGCCUAUGGGCGGAUCGGCGUCUGCUGAAUUGGCAGAUCUUACAAUGUUCGUCAUUCUUGAAAACGUUUUACAACGCUUUCAGCACAGAAACAAAAUGAUAAUGACUUCCAGAUUUAGGGAUGAUGGCUGGAUUAUAUAUUCCGGACCUAUAGAAGGAAUACACGAACUAUUUACAAUAGCUAAUACUGCACACCCGCACUUGAAGUUCACCUACGAAUUUUCCCGUAAUGAAACAAUAUUCUUGGACACUGUAAUAUAUAAAGGAGAAAGAUUCUUUAACGAAGGCAUACUAGACAUUAAAACCUAUUUCAAACCAACUGAAACAUUUCAAUAUCUACACAGAUACAGCUCACACCCGAAAAGUGUUUUCAAAGGAUUUAUCAAGGGUGAAGUAUUGAGAUACAUCAGAAACACCAGUAGCAAAACUGAACUUAAAAAACAGUUAGAAGCUUUUAAAACACGUCUCCUCAAACGAGGAUAUAAAAUAUCUGAAAUCAACGAAAUUUUUAAUCAAACACAAAAUAUAGAAAGGAAAAACCUGCUUAUACAACG
rnacentral:lncRNA from 1 species